rnacentral:rRNA from 1 species
AUCUUCCACAAUGGGCGAAAGCCUGAUGGAGCAACGCCGCGUGGGUGAAGAAGGUCUUCGGAUCGUAAAACCCUGUUGUUAGAGAAGAAAGUUCGAUAGAGUAACUGUUCACGUUUCGACGGUACCUAACCCGAAAGACAUGGCUAAAUAUGUUCCAGCAGCCGCGGUAAUACGUAGGUGGCAAGCGUUAUCCGGAUUUAUUGGGCGUAAAGGGAACGCAGGCGGUCUUUUAAGUCUGAUGUGAAAGCCUUCGGCUUAACCGGAGUAGUGCAUUGGAAACUGGGAGACUUGAGUGCAGAAGAGGAGAGUGGAACUCCAUGUGUAGCGGUGAAAUGCGUAGAUAUAUGGAAGAACACCAGUGGCGAAAGCGGCUCUCUGGUCUGUAACUGACGCUGAGGUUCGAAAGCGUGGGUAGCAAA